rnacentral:rRNA from 1 species
AUUGAGCCAGUGCUACGCCAUUUGGUGGAUUGCUCGGCUCGAGAGCUGAUGAAGGUCGUGCCAAGCCGCGAUAUUACUCCGUGUAGGCGCAAGGAGCCUUUGAUACGGAGAUUACCGAAUUGGACAUCCUAUCGCUUCGGCGAUAUUCGCGUCAGCGAAGAGGAACCUGCCGAAUUGAAACAUCUUAGUAGGCAGAGGAAAAGAAAUCAAUUGAGAUUGGGUUAUUAAAGGCGAUCGAACACCCAACAGGGCAAACCGAAUCCCCUAGCGACGAACUAGGGGAGAUGUGGAGUUUGGACUCAUUUACUCCCAAACUGGCAAACUCGAAGUCCUCUGGAAAGAGGUACCAUAGAGGGUGAUAGUCCUGUAGAGGUAAACCAGUGGGAGAUUUUUGGGUAUCCAGAGUAACGUGCGUUGGAUAUCGCGCGUGAAUAUGGGAGGCAUAAACUUCCAACCCUAAAUACUACUCGAGACCGAUAGCGCAAUAGUAGCGUGAGUGAACGUUGCAAAGUACCCCUUGCGGGAGGUGCAAAGAGCAUGAAAUCAAAUGGUUACAGACUGAUAAGGCAUGAAAGCGACGAAGCUAUCUUAGAUAGUGGAGCAAUGUCUUGUCGUUCGUUUUGAAUAAUGACCCAGGGAGUUCCUGGUAAUGGCGAGGUUAAGGGCUUAAGGCCCGUAGCCGUAGCGAAAGCAAGUGUCCGCAGGCAACAAGGGACAAGGUGUGCUCGCCUGUAGUCAUUACCACGAGACCCGAAGCCAGCCGAUCUAUGCGUGGCCAGGUUGAAGCCCUAUGAAAGUGGGGUGGAGGACCGAACCGGUGCUGAUGUGCAAAUCGUUCGGAUGAGCUGCGUAUAGGGGCAAAAGACCAAUCUAGACUGGCAAUAGCUGGUUCCCCCCGAGACUACCCGCAGGUAGAUCUCUGAUGAGAUGGAGUACACGGUAGAGCACUAAUUGGGUGCUUAGGGGAAGAAAUUCCUCGGCACCUUGCUAAACUCCGAAUGUGUAUUCAUCGUAGAAUCAGGGUAGUGAGGGCAUCUGGGGUAAACUUGAUGUCCGAAAGGGAAACAACCCAGCCUUGCGUUAAGGUCCCUAAGUGUUAGCUAAGUGUCAAAGAACAAAAAGCGUUUACGGUCUCAGACAACCAGGAGGUUGGCUUAGAAGCAGCCAUCCUUUAAAGAUAGCGUAACAGCUCACUGGUCGAGAUUGUAUGCCUUGAAAAUGGACGGGGCUAAGUUAACCACCGAUACGUAAGCACUCCAAAAUGGAGAUGAGUAGGGGGGCGUCGUGCGUGGGUAGAAGUUUGGUCGUAAGAUCAAGUGGACCGCGUUCGAACGAGAAUCCUGGGAAAAGUAGCAGCAUAGUAGAGUGAGAAUCUCUACCACCGAAAGGGCUAGGUUUCCUCGACGAUGUCCAUCAGUCGAGGGUUAGUCGGUCCUAAGGCAACCCUUAAUUGAAGUUGCCGAAUGGGAAACAGGUUAAUAUUCCUGUACUUUACAAACAUUUGCUCAUAUUUUGACGCAUUCGGGUAGAUUUUACAGACUAGUCUGUCUGUCUAAGCGUAUUAAGCUAAGGGAGUACCGUCAUGGUGAGAACUUGGCCAAAGCGUGAUGGGUCUGUCGCUUUAGACGGAUUUUAUCGAGCUCGAGUGCCCGUGAAAAUUAGUAUGAGAUGUAGUUUGUAGAUCCGUACCGAGAACUGACACAGGUGCCCCUGGCUGAGUAAGCCAAGGUGUGUCGGCUAAAUCCAGGCGAGGGAACUCGGCAAAUUAGCCCCGUACCUUCGGUAUAAGGGGUGCCUGCUUUGUGAAAAGCAGGUCUCAGUGACUAGGGCGCUCCGACUGUUUAAUAAAAACGUAGGAGACCGCAAGUCCGAAAGGAUGUGUAUGGUCGCCGAAUCCUGCCCAGUGGCGGUAUCUGAAAACCUAUUUCAAUGGGGCGAAGGACCGCUAAACGGCGGGGGUAACCAUGACCCUCUUAAGGUAACCACAAAAUGUUGCCUUAAUCAAAUUCGGCUAUAUGCUGGAACGUCCGUGUAUCUCAAGCUACUGUAAUGAUAAGGUUUAUUUAUGCCUUAAAAUUGUAGUGACAAUGCGAUGAGUGCGGAUAAUCAGCAGGAAAGCCUAGAUGCUGAGUGGAUUGCAGGGUUUGUCGAUGGUGAAGGUUGCUUCCAUGUGGCAAUUAACAGACAACCCAAGAUGACACUUGGGUGGCAAGUCCUUCCAGAGUUUCGAAUCGUACAACAUAAAAGAGAUAUCAACAUCUUGCAUACGAUUUGUAAAACCUUGGAAGUUGGUCACGUCACACGGAAUCACGGAGAUCGAUUCGAAGUCCGAGUCCGAGGAUUACAAAAUUUAAAGAAAUUAAUAGAAUUCUUUAAAAAACAUCCUCUUCAAACAACAAAAAAAGAAAACUUCGAAACAUUCUCUCAAAUCAUCAUCCUCAUGGACGAUAACGAGCAUUUAACCAAAAAAGGGUUAAAAAAAAUUGCUCAGUUAGCUAGUUCCAUGAACAACCAUGUAAAAUCCAAGUAUCUAGAAUCCUCAGAGACUAUACGCCGAACACUUCGAAAAAAGAAGUGAAGAUAUAGUCCGACCCUCAUGGCGACGUGAGGAGGUUGACAGAAAUGCCAAUCCGCCUUCUUAGAAAAGAAGGUCCCAUAAGUAACAGAUGUGAGCGUAAUACCUUGCCGCUUAAUUGGCGGCUUGCAUGAGUGGCUUAACGAGAGCGCCACUGUCCCCGCUUGGAAACCGGUGAAAUUGACUUACUGGCGCAUAGUCCAGUACCUUCCAGAAGGGAGCGAAGACCCCGUGGAGCUUUACUACAGCCUGUCGCUGUGAUACGGUUUGGAUUGUGAAGCGUAGGUGGGAGCCGUCGAAGCCAGGACGCUAGUUCUGGUGGAGGCGCCAAUGGGACACCACCCUAUCUUUGCCGUACCACUAACUUGCAAAAGGACAACGAUCGGUGGGUAGUUUGGGUGGGGCGCCACGCGCUCGAAAAGAUAUCAAGCGCGCCCAAAGGUCACCUCAAGGAGUUCAGAAAUCUCCUGUAGAAUGCAAGGGUAAAAGGUGGCUUUAUACGGAUUGGGCCAAUAACAAUCCGCAUUGCGAAAGCAGGGCCUAGCGAACCAAUGAACCUCAUUUAUGGGGGUCAUUGAUAACAGAAAAGUUACCCCGGGGAUAACUGAGUCGUCUCCAGCAAGAGCCCAUAUCGACCUGGAGGCUUGCUACUUCGAUGUCGUCUCUCCGCAUCCUGGCGGUGCAGCAGCUGCCAAGGGUGGGGUUGUUCGCCCAUUAAAGCGGAUCGUGAGAUGGGUUUAGACCGUCGUGAGACAGGUUUGUUGCUAACUUCUGGAAGCGUUGAUGUUUGAGGGGAAAGACCCUUUAGUACGAGAGGAACAAGGGUCUGCAGCCUCUAGUUUACCAGUUGUCCGACAGGGCAAUGCUGGGUAGCCACGCUGUAAGGGAUAAAUGCUGAAAGCAUCUAAGCAUGAAGCUCACCUCGAGACGAGACAUCAUAGAACUCGAAUAGAAGAUUCGUUUGAUAGAGCUCAGGUGUACGCAUGAAGCUUCGGCGACAUGUUCAGCCUAGAGCUACUAACCGUUCAUUACUGGCUCAAU